UACGGAGGAUGCGAGCGUUAUCCGGAUUUAUUGGGUUUAAAGGGUGCGUAGGCGGACUGUCAAGUCAGCGGUAAAAUUGAGAGGCUCAACCUCUUCCCGCCGUUGAAACUGGUGGUCUUGAGUGGAUGAGAAGUACGCGGAAUGCGUGGUGUAGCGGUGAAAUGCAUAGAUAUCGCGCAGAACUCCGAUUGCGAAGGCAGCGUACCGGCAUCCAACUGACGCUGAGGCGCGAAAGCGUGGGGAGCAAACAGG
rnacentral:rRNA from 1 species